CCUACGGGUGACAGCAGUGAGGGAUAUUGGUCAAUGGACGAGAGUCUGAACCAGCCAAGUAGCGUGAAGGAUGACUGCCCUAUGGGUUGUAAACUUCUUUUAUAUGGGAAUAAAAUGUUCCACGUGUGGGAUUUUGUAUGUACCAUAUGAAUAAGGAUCGGCUAACUCCGUGCCAGCAGCCGCGGUAAUACGGAGGAUCCGAGCGUUAUCCGGAUUUAUUGGGUUUAAAGGGAGCGUAGGUGGAUUGUUAAGUCAGUUGUGAAAGUUUGCGACUCAACCGUAAAAUUGCAGUUGAAACUGGCAGUCUUGAGUACAGUAGAGGUGGGCGGAAUUCGUGGUGUAGCGGUGAAAUGCUUAGAUAUCACGAAGAACUCCGAUUGCGAAGGCAGUUCACUGGACUGCAACUGACACUGAGGCUCGAAAGUGUGGGUAUCAAACAGGAUUAGAUACCCGAGUAGUC
rnacentral:rRNA from 1 species